CCGCAAGGGUGCCAGGUUUUUCAGGGGUGGCUGACACAUGGCGCAGGCAUGGCUGACACGUGACUCAGGCAUUCAUCCCACAUGAUCCCUGCAUGGCAGACAUGUGUUUCAUGCAUGGGUUACGUGUUGUUCAUGUGUGGGACACACGUGACUUGCUUUUUACUGACCCAUGGCUCUCACCUACUAAGACGUGGCUGGCACUUGGCUGACACAUGGCCCAGUGGCAUUUCACGUGUUGCUCCCAUGUGGCUCACGUGUGGUUCAGGCAUUGAAGAUGGGUGCUUCACUCGUGGUCCCCAUGUGGUUCAACUGUGACACAUGUGGUUCAGUCAUGGUUCAGUUGUGGCUCCUGAAGUGUUCAGGAGUAACCCUGGUGUGGCUCACACAUGGAUCCUCUGCGUGUUACAUAUGGUUGAGCAGUGUUUCACCUGUGAUUCAGGCAUGGCUCACACGUGUUGCAGGCAUGGCUCAGCCAUGGCUCACAUGUAGUUGAGGCAAGCCUCAGACCAGGGCCAUGUGUGGCUGACACAUGAUUCAGGAGUUUGUCACACGUGGCUAACACACGUCUCAGGGGAGGCUCACACAUGGCCGCGGCAUGGCUCUGGAAUGGUAGGCAUGUGGCUCAGGCAUGUCUGACACGAGACUCAGGCGUUGCUCACAUGUGAUUCGGGCAUGGGAUUCAGGUGUGUUGGACACGGGUUCCAGUGCUGUGUGGUGCUUCAUUGAGGCUGCAGUGACACGUGAUUGCUGUGGGGCUGACACUUGGGGUGUCACAUUUGACACAUGGCUCAGGCGUGGCUGACAUGUGGUUCAGAUGUGGGUGACAGGUGAUUCAGCUGUGGCUGGCACUUUACUGAUGCAGGGCUGACACAUGGUGCAGGCAUUGCUCUCACUUGACUCAGGCAUUCAUGGCACAUUAUCCAUGCGUGGCAGGCAUGUGGUCACACAUGGGACAUGUCGUACAGCUGUGGCUCCCACGUUGCUCAAACAUGGUCCCCACAUACUCAGUCAUGGCUGGCAUGUGGCUCAUGCAUGCCUCAGCCGUGUUUCAUGUUUGGCUCACCUGAGGUUCAUGUUUGGUUCAAGCAUUGAACAUGGGUGCGUCCCAUGUGCUUCAGAUGUGGUUCAAGGGGUCCUCACAUGUGGUUCAGGCAUGGUUCAGUUGUGGCUGACACACGGUUCAGAUGUAAUUCAGGCAUGGCUCACACAUGAUUUGUGAGCGUCACAAAUGCUACAGGAGACUUUCACACAUGAUUUACACAUGGCACACACAUGGUUCAGGAGCGACUCAUCCAAGGCUCACAUGUGAUGCAGGCAUGACACAGACCUGGGUCACAUGUGGCUGACGCAUGAUUCAGGUGUUUGUCACACAUGGCUCACACACGGCUGAAGUGUGGCUCAUGCAUGGCUGUAGUGUUGCUGAGGCGCGGCUCACACUUGGUUGUGGCAUGGUUGGCACGUGGUUUAGGCAUGGCAGGCAGGUGGCUCCAGCGUGUCUGACACGUGUUUCAAGUGAGGCUGGUAUGUGGUUAGAUUGGGACUGGCACAUGGUUCAGUCAUGGCUGGCAUGUGGCUUCGGAAUGGCUGAGAUGAGACUCAGGUGUAGCUCACACGUUUUUCAGACAUGGCUGAGUCAUGACUAAGGUGAGGCAGCCACAUGACACAGGCGUGCCUGUCACAUCAUGCAGCUGUGGCUCGCACCUGCUUCAUGCGCGGCCCUCACGUGUCUCUGGGGUGGCUGGUGCGUGGUUCACGCAUGGGUGCCAGGUGUUUCAGGUGUGGCUGACACAUGAUGGAGGCAUGGCUGACACGUGACUCAGGCAUUCAUCACCCAUUAUCUGUGCCCGGCCAACAUGUGUUUCAUGCAUGGGUUACAUGUCAUUCACGUGUAGCACACAUGUGACUCACUCACUGCUGACAAAUGUCUCCUGCGUACUUGGACGUGGCUGGCACGUGGCUCACGCAUGGCCCAGCCAUGUUUCACUAGUGGCUCCCCUGUGGUACACAUGUGGUUCAAACCUUUAACAUGUGUGCUUCACACGUGUUUCACGUGUGGUACAAGUUUGCCUCACGUGGUUGAGUCAUGAUUCAGGUGUGGCUCCCAAAUGGUUCAGGUGUAACUCGGGUGCAGCUCACACACUGCUCAUGUGCAUGUCACAUAUGGUUGAGGAGUGUUUGAGCCAUGAUUUAGGAGUGGCUCACACGUGGUGCAGGCGUGGCUCAGCCAUGGCUCACAUGGAGUUCAGGCGAGUCUCAGACCGGGGCCAGGUGAGGCUGACACGUGAUUCAGGAGUUUGUCACACAUCGCUAACACAUUUCUCAGGGGAGGCUCACGAUGCCUGGGGCGUGGCUCUGGCAUGGUUGGCACGUGGCUCAGGCAUGUCUGACAUGACACUCAGGCGUUGCUGACAUGUGUUUCAGACAUGGGAAUCAGGUGUGUCAGACACGACUUCCAGUGGUAUGUGAUGCUUCGUUGAGGGCGCAGUGACACGUGAUUGCUGUGUGGCUGACACUUCAAGUGUUGCAGUUGACACAUGGCUCAGGCAUGCCUGAAAUGUGGUUCAGAUGUGGGUGACAGGUGAUUCAGGUGUGGCUGGCAAUUUUCUGAUGCGGGGCUGACACAUGACGCACGCAUGGCUCACAAGUGAAUCAGGCAAUCAUCGCACAUUAUCCAUGCGUGGCAGACAUGUGGGCAGACGUGGGACAUGUCGUACAGGUGUGGCUCCCAUGUUGCUGACACAUGGGCCCCGCAUACUCAGUCAUGGCUUGCACGUGGCUCAGGCAUUCCUCAGCGGUGUUUCAUGUGUGGCUCACCUGAGGUUCAUGUGUUGUUCAAGCAUUCAACAUGGCUGCUUCCCAUGUGGUCCAAGUGUGUUUCAAGGGUGCCUCACAUGUGCUUCUGGCACGGUUCUCUUGUGUCUCACACACAGUUCCAAUGUAAUUCAUGCAUGGCUCACACAUGACUUGUGUGGGUCACAAAUGCUACAGGAGACUUUCACACAUGAUUUAGGCCUGGCUCACACAUGGUUCAGGUGCAGCUCAGCUGAGGCUCACACGUGAUGAAGGCACGCCACAGAACUGAGUCACAUGUGGCUGAGCCAUGAGUCCGGUGUUGGUCACGCAUCCCUCACACCUGGCUGAGGUGUGGCUCAUGCAUGGCUGUGGUGCUGCUCAGGCAUGGCUCACACUUAUUUGUGGCAUGGUUGGCACGUUCGUCAGGCAUGGCCGGCAUGUGGCUCCAGCAUGGCUGACACGUGCUUCAAGUGAGGCUGGCGUGUGCUUAAAUUGGGACUGCCAUAUGGUUCAGUCAUAGCAUGGCUCCCACACAGCUGAGGUGUGCCUCAUGCAUGGCUGUGGUGCUGCUCAGGCAUGGGUCACAAUUGUUUGUGGCAUUGUUGGCACAUGGUUCAGGCAUGGCAGGCAGGUGGCUCGAGCGUGGCUGCCAUGUGCUUCAAGUGAGGUUGGCAUGCGGUUAAAUUGGGACUGGCACAUGAUACAGUCGUGGCUGGCAUGUGACUUCGGCAUGGCUGAGAUGAGACUCAG
rnacentral:lncRNA from 1 species